GACUGGGGGGAACCUGAUCCAGCCAUGCCGCGUGUGUGAAGAAGGCCUUAUGGUUGUAAAGCACUUUAAGCGAGGAGGAGGUUACUCUAAUUAAUACCUAGGGAUAGUGGACGUUACUCGCAGAAUAAGCACCGGCUAACUCUGUGCCAGCAGCCGCGGUAAUACAGAGGGUGCGAGCGUUAAUCGGAUUUACUGGGCGUAAAGCGUGCGUAGGCGGCUUAUUAAGUCGGAUGUGAAAUCCCCGAGCUUAACUUGGGAAUUGCAUUCGAUACUGGUGAGCUAGAGUAUGGGAGAGGAUGGUAGAAUUCCAGGUGUAGCGGCGAAAUGCGUAGAGAUCUGGAGGAAUACCGAUGGCGAAGGCAGCCAUCUGGCCUAAUACUGACGCUGAGGUACGAAAGCAUGGGGAGCAAACAGGAUUAGAUACCCUGGUAGUCCAUGCCGUAAACGAUGUCUACUAGCCGUUGGGGCCUUUGAGGCUUUAGUGGCGCAGCUAACGCGAUAAGUAGACCGCCUGGGGAGUACGGUCGCAAGACUAAAACUCAAAUGAAUUGACGGGGGCCCGCACAAGCGGUGGAGCAUGUGGUUUAAUUCGAUGCAACGCGAAGAACCUUAGCUGG
rnacentral:rRNA from 1 species